rnacentral:rRNA from 1 species
UUGCGGUAAUUUCCAGCUCCAAUAGCGUAUAUUAAAGUUGUUGCAGUUAAAAAGCUCGUAGUUGAAUUUUUGUCGUUAAAAACAAACAUAGCACUAUGUGUAUUGUAUUGUUUUUAUUGACAAUUCUCUUAAUAUUUUAUUUUAGCUUGCUAAAAUAAAAUGUUAGAGGUGUUACUUUGAGAAAAUUAGAGUGCUUCAAGCAGGCGUACUGCCCUGAAUACUCCAGCAUGGAAUAACAUGUAAGGACUAUGGUUCUUCUUGUUGGUUUAAGGACCAAGUAAUGAUUAAUAGGGACAGUUGGGGGCAUUCGUAUUUAGUAGCUAGAGGUGAAAUUCUUAGACCUACUAAAGACGAACUACUGCGAAAGCAUCUGCCAAGGAUGUUUUCAUUAAUCAAGAACGAAAGUUAAGGGAUCGAAGACGAUCAGAUACCGUCGUAGUCUUAACCAUAAACGAUGCCGACUAGAGAUUG